CUACGGGAGGCUCCAGUAAGGAGUAUUGCGCAAUGGAGGCAACUCUGACGCAGCCAUGCCGCGUGCAGGAAGAAUGCCUUAUGGGUCGUAAACUGCUUUUAUUUAGGAAUAAACCCCCGAACGUGUUCGGGGCUGAAGGUACUAAACGAAUAAGCACCGGCUAACUCCGUGCCAGCAGCCGCGGUAAUACGGAGGGUGCAAGCGUUAUCCGGAUUUAUUGGGUUUAAAGGGUGCGCAGGCGGGCUAUUAAGUCAGUGGUGAAAUCCCGGGGCUCAACUCCGGAACUGCCAUUGAUACUGAUAGUCUUGAGUUUGGUUGAAGUGGGCGGAAUGUAGCAUGUAGCGGUGAAAUGCAUAGAUAUGCUACAGAACACCAAUCGCGAAGGCAGCUCACUAAGCCAAAACUGACGCUCAUGCACGAAAGCGUGGGGAUCAAACAGGAUUAGAUACCCGCGUAGUC
rnacentral:rRNA from 1 species